rnacentral:tRNA from 1 species
CGGUGUGAUGGUGCGCGGGUCUGGCAUGGCGUGGGAUUUGCGCCGCGCGCAGCCCUAUGAGUGCUAUGACGAGUUCGAUUUCCUCAUUCCGG